GAAGUCUUCAGUUAAUCCAAGUAAUCAUGCUAUGUGCAUGGGAGAGAGAAAACCUGAAUCUUUUUCUGGCUGCCUUACUGAGUGCUAUAAAUUGUCCUCCAACACAUGUAGGGAGAGCAGAGCCAAAAUUUCCACAGAAGGACUCCAACCAGGAAACUCUGGAUGUGCUUCUUUUUUCAGAGAACGACUCUGGCUUUCAGGCCCCCUUGCCAAUCCCACACCCAUGGAGGACCCUUGACUAAUAGUUGUUUUUAAGGAGUCUUUGUUGAUUUCAAACAGAAACUAAAAUGCAACCCAAGGACUCAGAUGAGAGCAGAACUUCUAGAAAGUGAGUCGAAAGCAAAGGAGCGCAUAUACUCUCUGCUGCAAAGGCUUCUGAGAAGGAGAAGUCAAGAGUUUGAUGUCUUUGUCAUCCCUGCUCGGGCAGCAGGAUACUUUCCCAGAGGCCAUGGAGACAGGACGCCUAGGUGCCCAAGCACUGCAGAGAUGGAUUCCAGUGGGAGAUGCCAAAACUCAUUUUUCUGGCUGCAGUUCUCGGACAAGACUUGACCUCUUCCAGUUGGGACUCCCUGCAGUAAGUGUGUGAGCGCGCGUGUACACACACACACACACACACACACACAUUGAACUUGAUUUCUCGAUGGGUUUCCAGAGAUGGGGAAAGACUGGCACAAAUGCCUGUUGGGGAACUGGAUGUCCGAAGUGCUUGCAGUAGGCUUGACUGAGUCAGGAGGAGGAAUCUGGAAGAAGGUGGAGCUUGGGGCUGUGGGGUUAGGGAGCAGUCCUGGUGGGAGAGUGGAGAGAUCCAGAGGGUACCAGCUCCCUUGGUCAUGGCAGUCACUGAAGUAGCAGCACAGGAUGUGUCGGCCACACUGGCCAGGGUCCCAGCUCAAGCCUAUAGAUGUGUUUGAGGAGAUAGUGAUGUUUUGGUUAUUGAUUGUUAAGUAUGAACCCUCUCAAAACACAGUGGCUUAAAAGAACAACAAUUUCAUUUGCUCCAAUUCAGUCUUGGCUUGCAGGUGGUCCUCGUGUGUGCGUUUAGUGGGUUGGGUAGCUGGGAUCUGGUCUCUGCUGGAUGCUGGGAUUACUGGACUCUCUGACUUCAUGGGCACUCAGGGCUUUUCCUUCUUCAUAUGAUCUCUCCACUCAAUCUCUCCACAUGAUUUCUCGGACAGAGUAGCCAGACCUCAUCCAUGGCAGCUCAAGAUAGUCAUGGACUUGGAGAAUAGACUUGUGGUUGCCAAAGGGGAAGGGGAGGGAGUGGGAGAGACUGGGAGCUUGGGGUAAAUAGAUGCAGAAUGUUGCUUUCGGGGUGGAUUAGCAAUGGGAUCCUGCUGUAUAGCACUGGAAACUCUGUCUAGUCACUAAUGAUGGAACACUUAAUGUGAGAAAAAAUUGUGUAUACAUGUAUGUGUAACUGGAUCACCGUGCUGUGCAGGAGAAAAAAAAAAAAAAUAUAUAUAUAUAUAUAUAUAUAUAUAUAUAUAUAUAAAUGAUAUAAAGGAAAGAAAGAAAGAAAAGAAAAAGCCAAGAAGCAAAAAUAGAAGUUUCCAGGCCUUCUCAAAACUAGUCUGGCUACUGGCACAGCUUCACUCUGGUUAAAGCAGUCACAGGGCAGCCCAGGUUCAAGGGAGGGAACUACACAAAGGCAUGAGUUCCAGGAGGCAUGGCUCACUGUGGGCUAUUAAAGCAACAGACUGCCACAGUUGGUACCGUUCCAUAUGUGAGAGCCUCCAAACCACCAGCGUUUAGCUAAAGAGUCUCCAUUUACAACCACCACAAACCAUAUUGCUGACAUUCUUAGAAGAAGCCUCUAAAUAACUUUUUUACUUAUCAUAUCUCUUCAUGUCUAAAAGAUAGCUAUUUGGCUGUAGUAAUAUGUUUUGCCACUUUCUCCUUCACAAAUCUUCUCAGCCCCUUUUUCUCUUUUCAUAGACACAGCUACCUACUUUGUUUAGGCAGGUCUCUCAAUCUUAAUGUGAACACACCUUGGUCAAUUACAGUGGAUUUUAUUUACAUCCAGAAAAUAGAACAUAAAGCCCCAAAGUUUGCAAAUGGCUUAUUACUUUUAAACAGUCAACUGAAGCAGAUUCAAGGUUGACCCUACAGUAGUGUUCCUCUCAGAUUCAUGCACGUACCUGAGGGGCCAAGAAAGAGGUGGAGUUUAGUGUUGAUGCUUUGGGAGUCAUGUAUAACCCUGGCAGAAACAGACCUAACUGCUUGCCUUAAUCUCUCUCUUCAGGUAAAAUUUCUGUUUUAUUUAGGGUGGCAAUAUGCCCAGCCUCUCUUCCAGCUAAGCAUGGCCAUAGGACUAAGUUCUGCCUAAUGAAAUAGAGGGGGAAAUAAUGCCUGGGACUUCCAGAAAGGGUACUUAAAGGGAGCUGGCCUAGCUAAGAAGGAACCCUUAGGCCUUAUUUUGGAUUCCUUCUUCCUGUUACCUGUAUUGCAGAUGCAAUGGUUGGAUCUUGAGCAGCCACUUAGGAUCAUGAGGUGACUUUAUGAGUACCUUAGGGUAUAAGCCAUACUUUAGGAUGGUAGAGUGUAAAAAUAGGUGGAUUCUGGGUUCAUGACGACCAUGGAGCUUUAUUCCAACCGUGAACUCUAGAAGUGGACAUAGAGAUCUAGAUCAAGAUGGAGAUAGAGAGGUUCUUAUUUAAGCCAUUGUUUUGAGGGGUUUCCUGUUACAAUUCAUCUUAUGUUCCUGGUCAGAGUUCUUGUCAUGGCUUGGCAGAAAUGAAUCUGACUAGCAUCCAUGAGGACGCAGGUUCAUUCCCUGGGCUCACUCAGUGGGUUAAGGAUGUGGCAUUGCUGUGAGCUGUGGUGUAGGUCACAGACAUGGCUCGGAUCCUACAUUACUGUGGCUGUGGUGUAGGCCAACAACUACAGCUUCAAUUCCACCUCUACCCUGGGAACUUCCAUAUGCCAUGGGUAUGGCCCUAAAAAGCAAAAAAAUAAAAAUAAAAAUAAAAAAACUUACAUACUUGGUCAUAGCCCAUUAUAAAUGCCAUCUGUUAUAUGUACUGCAUCAGAAAAAUGAUAAUCACAGAGAAUUCUGUCAAGGCCACAGAGAAUUCUCAGCUGGAGCAUCUCCCAACCUCAUUUGUGUUCUUUAGCUGUCUUGUCUAAUUAAUCCUUAAUGGAUUAAGGGAAUGUGGGCUUUUGGGGCUAUAAUGGUCCCUGGCAACCACUGAUCUUUUCCCUGACUCCAUAGUUUGCCUUUUCCACAGUGUCAUAAAGUUGGAAUCAUACAGUAUGUAGCCUUUUCAGGUUGGCUUCUUUCACUUAGUAACAUACAUUUAAUAUGCAUGUCUUUUAAUAGAUUGAUAGCUUAUUUCCUUUUAAUAAAUAAUAUUCCAUUGUCCAUCCAGUGUACCACAGCUUAUUUAUCCAUUUACCUACCAAAGGGCAUCUUGGUUUCUUUUAAGUUUUAGCAAUUAAGAAUAAAGCUGCUAUAUCUGUCUGAUUUAUUUCUCUUAGAGAAAGACAAAUACUGUAUGAUAUCACUUGUAUGUGGAAUCUGAAAAACACAACUAGUGAAUAUAGCAAAAAAGAAGCAGAUUCAUAGAUAGAGUGAUCAAACUGGGGCUACCAGUGGGGAGAGGGGAGAGGGGAGGGGCAUUAAAAGAGAAGGGAUUAAGAGGUACAAACUGUUGUAUAAAAAUGCUACAAGGAUAUAUUAUGAAACAUGGGGCAUAUGGCAGAUAUUUUAUAAUAACUACAAAUGGAGCAAAACCUUUUAAAAUUGUGAAUCACUAUAUUUUAUGGCUAUAAUUUAUAUGAUAUAUAUCAACUCAACAACAAUUUACCUACUUUUUUAAAAAAGAAGAAAGCUGCUAUAAAUAUCCAUGUGCAGCAUAUGUAUGUGUGUGUGUGUGGACAGAAGUUUUCAGCUCCUUUGGGCAAAUACCAAAUAACUUGAUUUCUGGAUCAUAUGGUGAAAGUGUAUUUAGUUUUCUAAGAAUCUGCCAAAGUGUCUUCCAAAGUGGCUGUACAUUUUGCAGUCUCACCAGCAAUGAAUGAGUGUUUGUGUUUCCCCACAUCCUCUCCAGCAUUUAAUGUUGUCAGUGGUCUAGAUUUUGGCCAUUCUAAUAGCUACAUAAUUGUAUCUCAUUGUUGCUUUUCCCCGGUGCCAUAAUAUGUGGAGCAUCUUUUCCUAUGCUUAUCCUUUAUCUGCAUGUCUUCUUUGGUGAAAUGUCUGCUAAGGUCGUUGACCCAUUUUUUUAAUCGGGUUUUUAAUUUAAUUGGGUUCUUAUUGUUGAGUUUUAAGAGUUCUUUGUAUAUUUUGGAUAAUAG
rnacentral:lncRNA from 9 species